rnacentral:rRNA from 1 species
AACGAACGCUGGCGGCAUGCCUAACACAUGCAAGUCGAACGAGACCUUCGGGUCUAGUGGCGCACGGGUGCGUAACGCGUGGGAACCUGCCCUUAGGUUCGGAAUAACUCCCCGAAAUUGGUGCUAAUACCGGAUAAUGUCUUCGGACCAAAGAUUUAUCGCCUUUGGAUGGGCCCGCGUUGGAUUAGCUAGUUGGUAGGGUAAAAGCCUACCAAGGCGACGAUCCAUAGCUGGUCUGAGAGGAUGAUCAGCCACACUGGGACUGAGACACGGCCCAGACUCCUACGGGAGGCAGCAGUGGGGAAUAUUGGACAAUGGGCGAAAGCCUGAUCCAGCAAUGCCGCGUGAGUGAUGAAGGCCUUAGGGUUGUAAAGCUCUUUUACCCGGGAUGAUAAUGACAGUACCGGGAGAAUAAGCUCCGGCUAACUCCGUG